rnacentral:rRNA from 1 species
GACGAACGCUGGCGGCGUGCUUAACACAUGCAAGUCGAACGCUGAAGCUCAGCUUGCUGGGUGGAUGAGUGGCGAACGGGUGAGUAACACGUGAGUAACCUGCCCUCUUCUUUGGGAUAACGCCCGGAAACGGGUGCUAAUACUGGAUAUUCACUGAUUCUCGCAUGGGGGUUGGUGGAAAGGUUUUUUCUGGUGGGGGAUGGGCUCGCGGCCUAUCAGCUUGUUGGUGGGGUGAUGGCCUACCAAGGCUUUGACGGGUAGCCGGCCUGAGAGGGUGACCGGUCACAUUGGGACUGAGAUACGGCCCAGACUCCUACGGGAGGCAGCAGUGGGGAAUAGUGCACAAUGGGCGAAAGCCUGAUGCAGCGACGCCGCGUGAGGGAUGGAGGCCUUCGGGUUGUAAACCUCUUUCGCUCAUGGUCAAGCCGCAGCGUUGGGUUGUGGUGAGGGUAGUGGGUAAAGAAGCGCCGGCUAACUACGUG